rnacentral:misc_RNA from 1 species
GAAGCAUAAAUAUUCAGAAUCCUACCUACACUACAGCUUCAGUUACAGCUCCAGGUUGACGUUGUUUACAAAAUAUGCUUGUUUCAUCCCGCAUAUACUGCGAAGGUUAUAGUUUACUUGUAUGUAGUUAACAAUUAUGUACAUAUUGUGAGAAAUGAAAGAAACAUUGGUUCUUUGUACAUCCUGCUCAUAGUGAAAGGAAUUCCAAAAGAAUCGAUCACCCCAUUGAGUCUCUUUAAUGAUAGUGAACUGG